GUCUUCUUCCAAUCUAAUUUAUGCUACUCAAAAUCUGGCUUAAAAUGCUCCAAUGACAGCUGAAUGGUUGUAGUGUGCUAAUUCCCGUGCCCUCACAUUCAGGGUUAUACCUAGAAGAUGAAUGCAUUUAGACCCAAGAACCUACGUGAGGUGGGCGGUGAUGGUUCCAUCCAUGGAGGCAUGGAGCUUGAGAUCAUUGUUGUCCAGGAGGGAGCCGGGCUCACCCGGUUCUUUUUUGGUCAACUGUGUCGUUUAGUUCGCGAUCUCAGUGCCAGGAAUCAGCCGUGCAAGUUGCACACUUAUUGCAGGGUUUGUAUGGAUUCAUGUUCAUGACUAAAACUACGAGGGAAUGCAAGCCUAUAGGACUUGCGCGGUGUGCUAUUGUUCUGGCGGUCUCUUAGUUUGGAUGACUGUGUCUUGCGUUGGUUCUAUUGGCUCUGUAGAUCCUCUUAGUUAGUCGGCGUGCUAUCAGAUGAUAUGUAAUCUGCUUAUCUUUUCUAUAUGUCCUCUCUGCCAUGGCUUUUAAAGACCAUGUUGUGGCCUUUGGUGUUCACUUGUUUUCGUUGCUCUCGGCAGAAUGAACAACCAUUAGUUGGUAUAAUAUAUUUUUCUUAUAUAUGUUUCCCUGGUGGUAAAUAAAUGAAUGUUCUUCUA